GAAAGAAGGGAGGAAGAGACACAUCAAUUGGUUGGCUCUCAUACACACCCCCACAGGGGACCGAACUUGCAACCGAGGUAUGUGCCCUGACCGGGAAUCGAACCCAUGACUUUUCAGUUCAUAGGAUGAUGCUCUACACAACUGAGCUACACCAGCCAGCUCUAAAACUGCUUUUUAAAUGUUUGUUCUUGUUUGUUUUCAUGAACCAUCCAGACUUUUUUGAGAAUGCACCCUGUUCUUCACAUAACCUCUCCAACAACGGCUAUAGAAUGUUAGCCAGGAACCACAAAUCCAAAGGUGAAGGUUAAAUUCUCUACUCCCUUAUUAAUCUGUGAUCAUGGUUCACUGCACAUUCCAGAGGAGAAGGGGCUUUAAGAAUCCAUCCUUCCCAAGAGGUGAAUGGAUGACUACGUGCCUUCCUCUUCUGUCUCUCAAAAUCAAGUUCAUUGCUCAAAGUCCAGCUCAACAGCUACUUCCUCUGUGAAGUAGUUUAUCCCUAUUUCUGUAUGACAGCAGUGUCCUCUGAGCAUCCAGUAUUAGAGUAUUUCCACAGAGACUGUAAGCUUUCUCAGGACGGGGGCCUCAUGCGGACUAUGGAUUCCCCAGGCAAAUGCUUGUGACACUGAAUUCAUUGUAACUUUCCCAUUGUUAUCCCUGUGCAUUUUGUUUCACUUUAAAUGCUUAUUUGAUAUUUAUGCCAUGGUUCUAUGUAGCUUUAAAAAGCUCCUGUAAUUAUAAGAAGUAUUUUUUUAUAAUGCAUUUCAUUUCUCUUCUCUUCACUUACUAGUGAAAGACUCACUCAAUCCCACAGCGACUCUGUCCCUAUGGACAGCAAGGUCACGUGUUUGCUCAUAACAGCACGAGGCUGCUGUUGCCUCUUCUACCUCAAAGCCUCAAGUCAUACACAAACGAACACAUUCAGCUUAAGGCUAGGAAGAAACCAAUUCAUGGAACCUGAAUGAUUACAUGAAAUGCACUCUUUUCUAAAUAAGCAUAAGUAGGUUGAAGCGUUUGAAAAAUUGUUUCUGAUCACUUUGUGCACUUGAGGAUUGAACUUGGGGGCAGGGGCAGGGCAGUUAACAGGUUUCGGUUUAAGAGCUAGAUUCUGAUUAAUUGGUAGUGCUGCUCAGAGGGCGAUGGGAAGAAUCUGAGCCGAUUGCUUAGUGAUGGCUCUCAUUUUCUGAGAUGUUCAUUUCUUAAUGUUAAUGUGAAUAAAAUAAAAUACUGAAAUUAAUUGAUAGACAUUUAAAAUUCUUCUAAGGCAAUAUAUAACUCACAAAUUUAUACUUAUAAGUUUUCACUUUAUUGGUGUUUAACAAUUCAGAGACAAAUCAAAACCUAUUCAUAUUUAAUUACUGAUUAGAUUUUCAGAUGUGCCCCCAAAAGGCAACUAAAGAACUGUAAAAGCAAUUAGCUAGGCAGCAUUAAUUCACUCAGCACAGGGUGAAUUAAUUUAUAGUUUGUGAGGUACUUGCUCUAAUGAAGCUUACAUUCAAGAAGCAGGAGAUAGAAAAUAAAAAAAAGUACGUAAUCACAAAUCCAAUAUCAGAGAGUAAGAGAAAUUAGUAGAUGUUUUUGACUAGUGGUCAAGGAAGGUAUCUCGGAGCAGUGACCAGGAAGGUGGGCUCUGACUGACAGGAAGGGACCACUCUUAAGACAUCAGAGCAGGGACACUCCACAGAAAGG